UUUGGCACAGAUCGGGACAGUAACCACUCAGCCAACCCAGAGGUGCAGGAUUGGUGGGAAACCCCCCAACAGUUUAGACCCAAUGCCAGCUUACUAAGCUGUGGUUCCCUGACUAUGACCUCAGAUCAGACGUGGUGACCCAUUGAAUUUAAGCAUGAUACUAAGCAAAGGGAAAAAACUUACCAGGAUUCCCUCAUUAACAGCGAGUGAAAAUGGAAGAGCCCUGCACCGAAUCCACAUCUGGCGGUGUGCACUGGAAAUGUGGCAUAAAGUCGCAGAUAUUGUUAGGCCAGUAUUAGCCAGUGGCACAUCAGAAUCGAGUCUUCUCAUUAUCAUGUUACUUCGGAAUGUAGCACAAAGAGGUGGCAAACUCCAUCUAAAGCUAAAUACAGGCACAAGUCUGAUUGCCAACAAGUACCAUAAAGGAAAGUUGAAAAGAACUUUGAAGAGAGAGUUCAAGAGGGUGUGAAACCAUUGAGAAGUAAAUGGGCGGGGUUGGUGCAGUCUGCCCGGAGCAUUCAACAUGUCGGAUAGGACCCGAAAGAUGGUUAAUUAUGCCUGUGCAAGGGGAAGCAAGAGAAAACUAUGGUGCAGGUCUGUAGCAGUCCUGCACUGCAAAUCCUUCUUCUGACCUGAGUAUCGGAGCAAAAGACUAAUUGACCCAUCUAGUAGCUGGUUUCCUCUGAAGUUUCCCUCAGGUGCUCAUAACCCCCAAUUUUAUCCGGACAAUCAAAUAAUUAGAGGUCUUGAGGCCAAAACGAUCUCUACCUAUUCCCAAACUUUAAAUUACUAAAGAGACUGGCUCAUUGGCGGAGAGCCGGGCUGCAAAUGAGAGUGCCCAUUGGAACACUUUUGGUAAGAAGAACUUAUUCUGUGGGAUGAACCAUAAGACGGGUUAAGGUGCUACAUACCAAUGCUCAUCAGACCCCAGAAAAGUUGUGGGUUGUUUUUGGCAGCAGGACGGUGGCCAUGGAAGUCAUUGAUCCAAUAAGAAGUGUGUACCUACUCAUCUGCUGAAUCAAAUAGCACUGAAAAUGGAUGGCACUGGAGUGUCAGGCCAAUACCCAGCUGCAGCUAGGGCUAUGCUGUAAUGAGUAGGAGGGCUACUGCGUUGCCAACGGACACCCAGGCAAGGGCCUGGGUGGAGCCACGCCAUGUGAAUAACUUGAUGUUAGUAGCAAAUAAUCAAAUGAGAUUUUUGAAGGCUGAAGUGGAGAAGGGUUUCAUGCGAACACCAGUUGAACAUGGGUCAGUUGGUCCUAGGAAAUGGGCGAGCGCCGUUUGGAAAGGACAGGUGAUGGCCUCCGUUGCUCUCAGCUGAUCAAAAGGAAGUCAGAUUCAUCUCCCUGAACCAGGAGUGGUGGAUAUGGGCGGCCUCACAGGUUCCAGUUCGGUAAAGCAAAUAAUCCCAGAAAAGCUGGCAAGAGCACUGUGGAGAGUUCUCUUUUCGUGGCAAAGGAAGAGCACCCUGAAAUGUAUUCACCCCGAGAGAAGGGUCUGAGCAUUGGAAAGCGGGAUGGUUCUGGCAGUGUCUGGUGAGGCUCUCGCUGGUCCUGGAAGAUCCAGGAGAGUCGUACCCAUAUCCGCGGCAGGCAUUCAAGGUGAACAGCCUCUUGCAUGUUGGAACAAUGUAGUAAGGUAAGUCGGCAAGUCAGACCAGUACCUUUGGGAUAAGGAUUGGAUGUAAGGGCUGUGGUGUGAAACAAGGCUGUGCAGGUGCUGCGGCUGGACGAUACAUCUUCCACCGGGGGACGGCACUGAAUCUGGAUGCAUGCAGGUCCCUUCCUGUGGAUCACUUUUGCUUCUGGCUCCAAGUGCAGAGUGCCUGCAGGGCGCGACCCGCUCUGGGGACAGUGGCAGGUGGGGAAUUUGACUAGGGUGGUACACCUGUCAAACGAUAAUGCAGAUGUCCUAAGGCAAGCUCAGAGAGGGCAUACACAUCCAGAGGAGAAGAAGGGCAACAUCUCCCUUGAUCCCAAUUUGCAGUAUGAAUAAAGACUGUGAAAGCAGGGGCUCAAGAUCCAUCUGACUUUUUGGGUUUCAAUGUUACGCUCACCUGGUAUCCACGGGGAUGCCACCCAGCUGUGGGGACUCUGGUACCCUUCUCUGCCGCUCCCAGGGAUAAUCAGCAGAGAAGUUCUGCCUUGUUAUGGGUUUUGGCGUGCUCUCCGUCCUGCCUUCUUGGCAGGGGCGCGUUGUCCUUUGUGGGCGAGUGCGAUCUAGUUACUUCACUGAUGCAGGCCCUUUAGAGUCUUUCAGGUAGGUCUUAUUACUGUUAUACUGUAUGUCUUUCUUGGAUUUCAAUAAUGUCUUUUCUCUCUCCUUAGGUGCUCGGAAGUUCGCUGUGGAACAUUGGCUGAAUUGGGACUCGCCGGCAGGUGAUGGUGCUUCGAGAGCACCUUGAUGCGGUAAGUAGGCGCUAUGCGCAGCGCUAUGAUGCCUUGCCUUUGCUAACCUGUUGUCUUGUGUUCCCGUAGGUUGCGGUGCUCACCCGGAACAAAGUCCCAAGGAGAUGCUGGUCGAUGGGCGACUCGUGAGGUAAGCUGCCGGCACAAUUAUAAAAUGUCUAAUGUCCUUUUUCUCUCCCUUUUGCAGAUCCGAUGGUCUGGGAGGCUCGGUGUUCCUUGGAUGCUGGUUGCAGGAGCGGAGGGCAUCUUGCGGUGGAAUCACAGGUAAGCUGCUGCUAUUAACGAUGUCCUUUUGAUU
rnacentral:rRNA from 1 species